UUUAUACUCCCUCGUCCGAAAAUACUUGUCAUCAAAAUAGAUGUAUCUACAACUAAAAUACAUCUAGAUACAUCCAUUUUAGUGACAAGUAUUUUUGGACGGAGGGAGUAUAAA
rnacentral:pre_miRNA from 1 species